rfam:Felis catus isolate Cinnamon breed Abyssinian chromosome A1, whole genome shotgun sequence.
ACCUGGAUGGCUCAGUCGGUUGAGCAUCUGACUUUGGCUCAGGUCAUGAUCUCAUGGUCCAUGGGUUCAAGCCCUGUAUCAGGGUU